rnacentral:rRNA from 1 species
AGCAGCCGCGGUAAUUCCAGCUCCAAUAGCGUAUAUUAAAGUUGUUGCAGUUAAAAAGCUCGUAGUUGAAUUUCGGGGUCAAUAAGUUGGUCAUGCCAAUGGUAUGCACUGGCUUUAUUGAUUCCUACCUCUUGACGAACUGUGAUGCCAUUAAUUUGGUGUUGCAAGGAAUCAGGACUGUUACCUUGAAAAAUUAGAGUGUUUAAAGCAAGCUUACGCUUGAAUACAUUAGCAUGGAAUAAUGAAAUAGGACGUUUGAUCCUAUUUUGUUGGUUUCUAGGAUCGACGUAAUGAUUAAUAGGGAUAGUUGGGGGCAUUAGUAUUCAAUUGUCAGAGGUGAAAUUCUUGGAUUUAUUGAAGACUAACUACUGCGAAAGCAUUUGCCAAGGAUGUUUUCAUUAAUCAAGAACGAAAGUUAGGGGAUCGAAGACGAUCAGAUACCGUCGUAGUCUUAACCAUAAACUAUGCCGACUAGGGAUCGGAUGAUGUUAAUUUUUUAAUGACUCAUUC